rnacentral:rRNA from 1 species
UACCCCUUAUGCAAGCGUUAUCCGGAAUUAUUGGGCGUAAAGCGUUUGUAGGCGGGCGAGUGUGUUUAAUGUUAAAUCUUAAAGCUCAACUUUGAAAUUGCGUUAAAAACUGCUUGUCUUGAGUAUGGUAGGGGUAAAGGGAAUUCCCAGUGUAGCGGUGAAAUGCGUAGAUAUUGGGAAGAACACUAAACAGCGAAGGCACUUUACUAGGCUAAUACUGACGCUGAGAAACGAAAGGUAAGGUAGCGAAACGGAUUAGAUACCCGUGUAGUCUUACCCGUAAACUAUGGACACUAAACGGUAAAUUUUUAAUUUACUGUUAAAGCUAACGCGUUAAGUGUCCCGCCUGGGGAGUAUGCUUGCAAAAGUGAAACUCAAAGGAAUUGACGGGGGCCCGCACAAGCGGUGGAGCAUGUGGUUUAAUUCGACGGUACACGAAGAACCUUACCAGGAUUUGACAUGCUAGAUAGUUGCUUGAAAGAGUAACGUGCCGUAAGGAAUCUAGACACAGGUGGUGCAUGGCUGUCGUCAGUUCGUGUUGUGAAAUGUUGGGUUAAGUCCCGCAACGAACGCAACCCUUGUCUUUAGUUAUUUUCUAAAGAGACUGCCUGUAAUAAACAGGAGGAAGGUAAGGAUGAGGUCAAGUCAUCAUGCCCCUUAUGUCCUGGGCUACACACGUGCUACAAUGGGAAAGACAAUGAGCUGCAAAUCUGUAAAUUUAAGCAAAUCUCUUAAACUUUCUCGUAGUUCGGAUUGUGGGCUGCAACUCGCCCACAUGAAGUUGGAAUCGCUAGUAAUCGCCAGUCAGCUAUAUGGCGGUGAAUCCGUUCCCGGGCCU